CGCGACAGACGCAUCCGUGCGCCGCGAGUGCAAAAUCAUAAUGCCUGAGUGUUCGUGUAUGCGCGUAACUAUUUAUACUCUAACAAUUUUGUGAUGAGGGUAAUGAGCAAAAAGUGCCGUGAGCCGCGCCAAGGUAUGUUUUUCACGUGCACCCUCCUUCUAAAUUGUUAUAGAAUUGUGUUCAGAUUUUGAUAGUGAUUUAAUUUGUAAAUUAUAGCGUUUUUUGAUACCAAAUUGUAAUAGUCUUGUAGCGGUAACCUUAACCUACAUAAUUUUGUAUAAUAAACCUAAUAGUUCUGCCGUUUAAGGCCUGAAUUACCUAUGUAAACAUUUCUCGAUAGUAAAAAUCCUAGACUUUCAUUAGUGAAAUAGUGUUUAACUGAAAGCCUAGGUCUCAUUGUAUACAAAAUAACUUAAUUUAUAGAAAUAUUGUUAAUAGUUUAAGUUAUAGAGCAAUAAAUAAUGUCUGUGUUUUGACUUUCAUUUCACAUGCAAAUUAACAAUACUAGGGCUUAGGUCACAUUGUUAGGAUUACUAUCGCCAGAUAGCCCAUGAAAUGCCCUAACACACACUGCCUUUCGUAUCGAGAUACCCCCCAUAGUUUGUUUUUUAUCUCGAGAUAAUCUUCACAUAAGGGCCGAUUUCACAUAGUUUUUUAUAGUUAUUCGGUUAUAGUAUUUCAGCCCUGAAGGUAUGCAGGGUGUGUGUGGUAUAGUUCAGUAGCGCACUUCAUGGGGCGUCUGACGCUAUGUGUCCUGUAAUGAUAUCAUGUACCAAUUGUUUGUAAUACGGCUGUUAAAUUGAAAGGUCAAUAAAACUGAGUUGGUCGGAGGGACGAGAAAUCGAGGUGCUCGUCACGGUAAAGUUUCGAGCUCAUUCGGUGCGCAAGCGCCGCCGUACAAAUCGUAGUCAUCGGUAUAGAUUUUUGAUAGUGUAACAAGUAAAUAGUGAAAAGUAAAUAGUGUAAUUGUAGUAUGGUAAGUGCGUCGAAGCUCGUCCCUUCAAGACUCCUGAAAAAUAUAUGAAGACUUAUUAUUUCACCGGCAUCCCUGAACCUAUAGUAGCAGAGAGCCUAAAACCCGUCUAAACGUAUUCUUGUUUCUGAAAUUCCUGUUUCUCGCCACAUCGUAAAUACAGUCCACUCGCCCAGACGUCCAAGAACCAGCGACCGACGGGGCGUCAACGUCUCGAAGCCACCCCAUAGUACCUGCUUCUGAGCUACGUCCGUCCCGCACAUCUGUUUGGUCCUUGCGACCCGGAUCGCCUGGGAAGCGAGCCAGGAACUUCAGCUGAAGAUACUGAAGAGUUGUAAACAGCAAGUAUGCCUGUGACAAGAUCGCAAGGAAGAGCCGCUCAAGCCUGGAUCAUCGACGCCAGACCGGGCCGCCGCACACCCCCCAUCGUGCACGACCAGCCGCCGUUCUCUCCAACCACCACCGAGGGGAGUGAGCAGCCCCCCCCUCCCCCGAGGGGGGGUGAAGACCUACCCUGCCCCGCAGCUGUGAGGGGAAGUGAGGCGCCGCCCUGCCCCCCUGCCCCGCGGGGGGGUGAAGACCGACCGCGCCCCCCUACCCCGCGAGGGGGUGAAGAGCGACCAGCGCCGUCGUCGUUGAUGCAGACUGAAGCGUCGUCAUCACUGAGGCCGCCUGGAACCAGUGCUGAAGAAUAUAGUUCAGGAGGAACACUGAAGGCUUGCGACAAGACAUACAACCGAGCUGUACCGUUGACUACCCGGGUUGACGCCCGUACCGAACUUAAGGCACCGUCGCACAGAUCGACGGCAUCAAAUAGAAAAAUUAGAAAUGCGCGUGAAGACUUAUUGAAGAUUAAGUUGGAGCUAGCGCAAAUAGCACUUCAGAGGGCCGAGGAAGAAUCGGACGACGAUUAUAUGGACGAUAGAAAUUCCAAUGAAGAGUACAUCCGUUCCUGGUUGGAGGAAGCUCCGGAACCAGACCCGCAGGACGCCGCCGCUGAGGGAGGACAUAGACCACCAGAUACCCUGGACCUGCCCGAGCCCCCCCCCUCCGCGGUUAUAGUGAAUCCGGUCCUGCGUGGAAUAAGUACUGCUCCUGGAAGAGACGCCGCCGCCGAGGGAGGACAUAGACUGCCGGGUACCCUGGACAAACCAGAGCCCCCCCCCUCGAAGACCAUCGAUACUGAAGCCCUUUCAUCAAUGAAGAAACCAGUUGAAGAUACCGCAGGGGGUGAAGGGCUCCGUCCGUUUAUCACGGAACUCACCUCCGCCAUCGCAUCGCUAGCCGGCAAUAGAAGCGAAGAGAAACCGGUGUACCACAACCCUGCUGCAUCGAAAGUCAUCAUGACGCUGCCGAACUUUAGUGGAUUGCAUACAGAAUGGCUAUCGUUCCGCGCCAUCUAUGAGACAACGCGACCAUAUUUCAACGAUGUGGAAAAUACGGCGAGGCUGAGAAGAAGCCUGCGAGGAAGAGCGCUUGACACAGUUAGUUCCGAGCUUAUCGGCAACGCCAGGCCAGAUGACAUCAUGAAGGAGUUGGAGCUUCAGUUUGGCCGCCCCGACUCAAUAGCGCAAGCGGAAACAGACAGACUGCGCGGGCUGCCACGCUGCGGAGAAGCACCGAAGGACAUCUGCACUUUCGCCAGCCGUGUACGAAGUGGCAUCGUCACACUGCGAGCGCUGAAAAAGGAACACUACCUCAUGAACGCCGAGCUUAUGCGCAUCCUCACAGAGAAGCUGCCGAACUCGCUACGUGUACAGUGGUACAAGACAUAUACUGAGAAGUACCAGUCAACGCCGGACUUGGGUCUCUUCAGCGACUUCAUCACCGAACAAGCUCGCUACUGCAGCGCGUUUGCACCGCCUGAAAACAUCAGUGAAGCUACUGGACUUAGACGUGUGACGCAGAGAACACACACCACUAUAGACAAGAAGCCCGCAUCGAAGUGCCGCAUCUGCGAGAUGGAUGGACACCGAUCGCUAGACUGCCACAAGUUCGUGAAGGCUUCUGCGGACAAGAAGUGGGAACUUGCCAAGCAGCACAACCUGUGCUUCCGCUGCCUGCGCCAUCGUCAGCACGGACACAGAUGUCAGAAGAAGAGAUGUGGAAUCGAGGGCUGCACAGCAUCACACCAUCAUCUGCUUCACUACAAGAAGAAGGCGAGCACUACUGAAGUCGCACAAGAAGCACAAGAAAUAGUCGCAAGUUCACGCAACCACACAAAUCAAGCGUUCCUGAAAAUCGUUCCGGUGCAACUGUCCGGACCGGCGGGAGAAGUGCGCACCUACGCACUGCUGGAUGACGGCUCAACCGUGUCACUGAUUGACGAAGAGCUAGCAGACAUGAUCGGUGCAGAGGGACCAGUCGAGCCGAUGAAGAUAGGCGCCAUCAGCGACGUGACUAUCGACACGCCCACGUCGAAGAGAGUUGACCUCACGCUAUCGACCUGCCAUAGGAAGAAGAUACCCUUCAGGGCGCGCACCAUACCACGCCUGCACCUGUCGCCGCAGUCAAUCAGCAAGGAUGACAUCGCUGACUGCAAGCACCUGUUCGACCUGGCAGAUCAGCUGACGUACAACGCAGGGACGCCGAAGAUUAUCAUCGGGCAAGACAACUGGCAUCUGCUCCUAGCAACAGACAUCAGAAGAGGGCCCCAGCAUCAGCCGAUAGCAUCGUUAACUCCCUUGGGCUGGGUGCUGCACGGUGCCCGCACUAGGAUUCUGGGACAGCAGGUGCACUACGUCAAUCAGCUGAACAGCGCCGAGGAAAGCAUAGACAAGCAACUUCGUGAAUACUUCGCACUCGAGUCACUCAUCAUCAACCCGUGCCGACCAGCUUCUGACCCGGAGAAGAGAGCGGAAGAUAUAUUACAACGCAGUAUAGUACAGCUGGAAGAUGGACGUCUUCAGACUGCGUUGCUAUGGAGGAGUGACGAGAUACAGAUGCCGGACAGCUACGCGACUGCGAUGAAUAGACUCGUAUCAAUAGAGAAAAAACUCGACAAGAAUCCUGCUCUGAAGACUAGAUAUAUGGCGCAGAUGGAUUCACUAAUAGAAAAGGGCUACGCAGAGAAAGCGCCCCUUGAACGUACACCGGGAAGAACGUGGUACCUGCCGCACUUCGACGUCUUCAACCCUAUGAAACCGGAGAAGCUUCGUAUAGUUCACGACGCAGCAGCGAAGACAAGAGGGAUGUCACUGAACGACUACCUACUCACGGGUCCGGACUUGCUGCAGUCACUGCCCGGCGUGAUGAUGCGAUUCCGACGUCACCGCGUCGCCGUCUCCGGAGAUAUCACUGAAAUGUUUAUGCAGGUGAAAGUAAAGCCAGAAGACAGAGACGCUCUCCGAUAUCUGUGGCGAGGAGAGCGGCGGGAGGGGGCGCCGGAAGAGUACCGAAUGACGUCAAUAAUAUUCGGCGCAGCAAGUUCACCGUGUACAGCAAUAUUCGCUAAGAACUGGAAUGCUAAACGCCAUGCGAACGAACAUCCAGAAGCAGUAGAAGCAAUAGUCAAGAAUCAUUACAUGGACGAUUACCUGGAUAGCUUCAGAAGUACAGAAGAGGCGACGCGCACAAUCAAGAUAGUACAAGAAAUACAUAGUAAAGCGCGCUUCGACCUAACGAAAUGGGUAUCCAACAGCGAAGAAGUGCUGCGUGAAUUGGUACCGGGCCAAGAAACAACACAGAUUGUUAAUCUUGGAAAUAUAGAAAACACAGAGAAAGUACUCGGCGUGAUAUGGAAGCCACACACAGACGAGCUGAGCUUCAACUUAAAACUCGCGCGCCUACCUACUGGCCUGCUCGACAAGGAAACGCCCACCAAGAGAGAGGCGCUCAAGAUAGUUAUGUCGCUGUAUGACCCGCUGGGCCUCGCCUCACCUAUAACAAUCAGGGCGAAACAAAUACUGCAAGAAGCCUGGAGGCGGGGAGUCGACUGGGAUCAACCUCUCGAUGAAGAACUAUCAAGCCAGUGGAGGGCGUGGAUAAGUCAUCUCGAACAGCUGAAGAACGUAAACAUACCGCGCUGUUAUCCUGGGUACAGCGAGGCUACAGAAAUACAAGUACACGUGUUCACCGACGCCAGUGAGAAGGCCUACGCUACAGCGGUGUACUGGAGGUCAACGACCCGUGAUAACAACGUGCACGUCAGCCUCGUCAUGGCGAAGGCGAAGGUGGCGCCGCUGAAGCUGCUGUCAAUACCGCGCCUCGAGCUGCAAGCCGCGGUGAUGGGUACGCGCGUCGCAGCCGCAGUGAUAUAUGAACACAACGUCAAGCCCGCCUCCGUGACCUACUGGAGUGACAACAGAACCGUUCUGACAUGGAUAAGGAAAGGAGCCAGAUCGUACAAGCCAUUCGUUGCACAUCGCUUGGCCGCCAUAGAGGAAAAUAGCAGAGUCGAAGAGUGGCGCUGGGUGCCUACAAAAAGCAACAUAGCCGACGCCGCCACUCGCGACGUCCCGACGCACUUUCAUACCGACCACGAGUGGUACUGCGGCCCUAAGUUCCUCUACGACGACCCAUCGACAUGGCCGACCGAGUCACCAGCUGACAGUCAACCGACAGGCGAGGAAAAAACAGUCACGCUCAUACAAGCAGGCGCAACAAACCUCAUAGACGUCGUUCCCGACCCCGCUCGAUUUUCAAGGUGGGAGCGAUUGCUGCGCGCCACAGCCAGAGUACUACAGUUUAUAUCGUUAUGUAGAAAACAACAUACAGAAAAAACGUUCUACAAGCGAACAAGGAAAAACAAAGAAAACGAUCCUGAUUGGUCGAGAGCGGUGCGAGCGCCCCGCGCGCCCGCCGAAGCUGCGCGCGCCCAAAUAUACACACGCAAGUUUAUUAUAUUGGACGCGACAUACAUUCAAAGAGCAGAGAAGCUGUUAGUUCAUGUGGUGCAACAGGAAGCCUUUAAACAAGAAAUAGCCAGUCUCGAGAGCAACAAAACAGUCGCAAGUAGUAGCCGGCUGUACCCGCUGCGCAUAGAACUAAACGACGGAGUUAUAGUACUGCGAAGCCGCAUAGCUGCUGUAGAUAAAGUCGCUAAAAGCGUGAAGAGUCCACCUGUGUUAGACGGCGAUCACCGCAUUACACAGCUAUAUAUAGACUGGACACACCGUAGUCUACAACACAGCGGCACCGAGCUCGUCGUGAAUGAGGUCAGACAGCACUACUGGAUUGUGCGCCUGCGCCCGACAGUCAAGCAAGUCAUCGCGCGCUGCCUGCACUGCCGCAUACGUCGCGCGCGCGCGCCGACGCCGGCAACCGGCGACCACCCGAAGACACGCCUAGCUCAUCACCGCAGGCCGUUCACAUACACCGGGCUUGAUUAUUUCGGCCCGCUGUCAGUCACCGUCGGUCGUCAGCAUCACAAGCGAUACGUGGCGCUGUUCACGUGUCUCACAACGAGGGCAGUUCACCUCGAGAUCGCGCACAGCCUCAGCGCGGACUCAGCUGUGUUGGCGCUGCGCAGGUUCGCAGCGCGACGCGGCUGUCCCACCGAAAUCUACUCCGACAACGGCACCAACAUGCACGGUGCUGACCGUGAGCUGCGUGAGGCCUGCCAGGAGGAGGCCAGCCGACGCGGCAUCGCCUGGCGCUUCAUCACGCCUUCCGCGCCUUUCAUGGGAGGCGCCUGGGAGCGCUUAGUGCGGUGCGUUAAGACCGCGCUAGGCGCCACGCUGCACGAGCGCCACCCACGCGAGGAGGUCCUCGCGACGCUGCUCUGCGAGGUCGAGUACGUCGUCAACAGCCGGCCGCUCACCCACGUAUCUGUGAGCGGCGACGACGACGAGUCCAUCACACCGAACCAUUUCCUGCUGGGCGGCUCGGCACGCCUGCCGAGCCCCGGCACGUUCGACGAGCGAGACAUCGACAGCAAGAAGCACUGGCGGCGCGCCCAGAUACUCGCCGACAUGUUCUGGCGCCGCUGGGUGCGCGAGUACCUGCCCGAGCUCCAAUACCGGCGGGAGCCGCACGCCCGCGGCCCCGCGCUGCAGCUGGGCGACCCCGUCCUCAUCGCCGACGGCAACCUGCCUCGCAACACCUGGCCGCGAGGCCGGGUCGUGGCCGUCUACCCGGGCGCUGAUGGUGAAGUUCGGACCGCUGACGUGCGCACCGCAGGUGGCAUACUAAAGCGUCCGACGAAGAAACUCGUGCCGCUGCCUAAGUAACCGGGCAGUGCGGCAUCACCGGCGUCGCGGCGCCCUGGCGCUAUCACUGCGCCGUCGCUCACCGGAGAUGCGGCAUCGCUGCGAGCCAGAGCUACGAGUCAUCGCUACGGGUCAACGCUUCGAGUCCCUACAUCGUGUCAUCGUGUCAUCGUGUCAUCGUUUAAUAGACUAAAUAGUGAUAGUGAAAGUGAAAGUGAUAGUGCCUACGCUCUGCCGCACGGCGGGAGAGAUGUUCGCGACAGACGCAUCCGUGCGCCGCGAGUGCAAAAUCAUAAUGCCUGAGUGUUCGUGUAUGCGCGUAACUAUUUAUACUCUAACAAUUUUGUGAUGAGGGUAAUGAGCAAAAAGUGCCGUGAGCCGCGCCAAGGUAUGUUUUUCACGUGCACCCUCCUUCUAAAUUGUUAUAGAAUUGUGUUCAGAUUUUGAUAGUGAUUUAAUUUGUAAAUUAUAGCGUUUUUUGAUACCAAAUUGUAAUAGUCUUGUAGCGGUAACCUUAACCUACAUAAUUUUGUAUAAUAAACCUAAUAGUUCUGCCGUUUAAGGCCUGAAUUACCUAUGUAAACAUUUCUCGAUAGUAAAAAUCCUAGACUUUCAUUAGUGAAAUAGUGUUUAACUGAAAGCCUAGGUCUCAUUGUAUACAAAAUAACUUAAUUUAUAGAAAUAUUGUUAAUAGUUUAAGUUAUAGAGCAAUAAAUAAUGUCUGUGUUUUGACUUUCAUUUCACAUGCAAAUUAACAAUACUAGGGCUUAGGUCACAUUGUUAGGAUUACUAUCGCCAGAUAGCCCAUGAAAUGCCCUAACACACACUGCCUUUCGUAUCGAGAUACCCCCCAUAGUUUGUUUUUUAUCUCGAGAUAAUCUUCACAUAAGGGCCGAUUUCACAUAGUUUUUUAUAGUUAUUCGGUUAUAGUAUUUCAGCCCUGAAGGUAUGCAGGGUGUGUGUGGUAUAGUUCAGUAGCGCACUUCAUGGGGCGUCUGACGCUAUGUGUCCUGUAAUGAUAUCAUGUACCAAUUGUUUGUAAUACGGCUGUUAAAUUGAAAGGUCAAUAAAACUGAGUUGGUCGGAGGGACGAGAAAUCGAGGUGCUCGUCACGGUAAAGUUUCGAGCUCAUUCGGUGCGCAAGCGCCGCCGUACAAAUCGUAGUCAUCGGUAUAGAUUUUUGAUAGUGUAACAAGUAAAUAGUGAAAAGUAAAUAGUGUAAUUGUAGUAUGUCCACUCGCCCAGACGUCCAAGAACCAGCGACCGACGGGGCGUCAACGUCUCGAAGCCACCCCAUAGUACCUGCUUCUGAGCUACGUCCGUCCCGCACAC